UAAGGGCGCACGGUGGAUGCCUUGGCACUAGAAGCCGAUGAAGGACGUUACUAACGACGAUAUGCUUUGGGGAGCUGUAAGUAAGCUUUGAUCCAGAGAUUUCCGAAUGGGGAAACCCAGCAUGAGUUAUGUCAUGUUAUCGAUAUGUGAAUACAUAGCAUAUCAGAAGGCACACCCGGAGAACUGAAACAUCUUAGUACCCGGAGGAAGAGAAAGAAAAUUCGAUUCCCUUAGUAGCGGCGAGCGAAACGGGAAGAGCCCAAACCAACAAGCUUGCUUGUUGGGGUUGUAGGACACUCUAUACGGAGUUACAAAGGACGACAUUAGACGAAUCAUCUGGAAAGAUGAAUCAAAGAAGGUAAUAAUCCUGUAGUCGAAAAUGUUGUCUCUCUUGAGUGGAUCCUGAGUACGACGGAGCACGUGAAAUUCCGUCGGAAUCUGGGAGGACCAUCUCCUAAGGCUAAAUACUCUCUAGUGACCGAUAGUGAACCAGUACCGUGAGGGAAAGGUGAAAAGCACCCCGGAAGGGGAGUGAAAUAGAACCUGAAACCGUGUGCUUACAAGUAGUCAGAGCCCGUUAAUGGGUGAUGGCGUGCCUUUUGUAGAAUGAACCGGCGAGUUACGAUUUGAUGCAAGGUUAAGCAGUAAAUGUGGAGCCGUAGCGAAAGCGAGUCUGAAUAGGGCGUUUAGUAUUUGGUCGUAGACCCGAAACCAGGUGAUCUACCCUUGGUCAGGUUGAAGUUCAGGUAACACUGAAUGGAGGACCGAACCGACUUACGUUGAAAAGUGAGCGGAUGAACUGAGGGUAGCGGAGAAAUUCCAAUCGAACCUGGAGAUAGCUGGUUCUCUCCGAAAUAGCUUUAGGGCUAGCCUCAAGUGAUGAUUAUUGGAGGUAGAGCACUGUUUGGACGAGGGGCCCCUCUCGGGUUACCGAAUUCAGACAAACUCCGAAUGCCAAUUAAUUUAACUUGGGAGUCAGAACAUGGGUGAUAAGGUCCGUGUUCGAAAGGGAAACAGCCCAGACCACCAGCUAAGGUCCCAAAAUAUAUGUUAAGUGGAAAAGGAUGUGGCGUUGCCCAGACAACUAGGAUGUUGGCUUAGAAGCAGCCAUCAUUUAAAGAGUGCGUAAUAGCUCACUAGUCGAGUGACACUGCGCCGAAAAUGUACCGGGGCUAAACAUAUUACCGAAGCUGUGGAUUGUCCUUUGGACAAUGGUAGGAGAGCGUUCUAAGGGCGUUGAAGCAUGAUCGUAAGGACAUGUG
rnacentral:rRNA from 1 species